rnacentral:rRNA from 1 species
GAUCAUGGCUCAGGAUGAACNCUGGCGGCAUGCCUAAUACAUGCAAGUCGAACGGACCGAAGGGAAAGCUUGCUUUUCCUGAAGUCAGUGGCGAACGGGUGAGUAACACGUAGGUAACCUGCCCAUGUGCCCGGGACAACGCCUGGAAACGGGUGCUAAAACCGGAUAGGUAGAGAGAUCGCAUGAACUUUCUAUUAAAGGGGCUACGGCCCUGAACAUGGAUGGACCUGCGGUGCAUUAGCUAGUUGG